rnacentral:rRNA from 1 species
GACCAACGCUGGCGGCAUGCCUAACACAUGCAAGUCGAACGGACAGAACAGGGAAGCUUUUCGGAGUGGAACUGGAAAGUUAGUGGCGGAUGGGUGAGUAACGCGUGGACAACCUACCUUGUAAAGGGGAAUAACCUCGAGAAAUCGAAGCUAAUACCCCAUAAUAAUCUUGCUUCGCAUGAAGUAAGGAGGAAAGGCGGCCUUAGCGCUGUCGAUACAAGAUGGGUCCGCGUCUGAUUAGCUAGUUGGUGAGGUAAAGGCUCACCAAGGCGACGAUCAGUAGCCGGCCUGAGAGGGUGAACGGCCACAUUGGGACUGAGACACGGCCCAAACUCCUACGGGAGGCAGCAGUGGGGAAUCUUCCGCAAUGGGCGAAAGCCUGACGGAGCAAUGCCGCGUGAGUGAAGAAGGCCUUCGGGUUGUAAAACUCUGUCCUUAUCGAAGAGAGAGUGUUGUAGUAACUGACAAUACUAGGACGGUAGAUGAGGAGGAAGCCCCGGCUAACUAUGUG